rnacentral:tRNA from 1 species
GCCCCCGUGGCUCAAUUGGAUAGAGCGUCGCGCUUCGGACGCGAAGGUUUGAGGGUUCGAAUCCUUCCGGGGGCA